UACGUAGGGCGCAAGCGUUGUCCGGAAUUAUUGGGCGUAAAGAGCUCGUAGGCGGUCUGUCGCGUCGAUCGUGAAAACUUGGGGCUUAACCCUGAGCUUGCGGUCGAUACGGGCAUGACUGGAGUUCGGCAGGGGAGACUGGAAAUUCCUGGUGUAGCGGUGAAAUGCGCAGAUAUCAGGAGGAACACCGGUGGCGAAGGCGGGUCUCUGGGCCGAAAUUGACGCUGAGGAGCGAAAGCGUGGGGAGCAAACAGG
rnacentral:rRNA from 1 species